rnacentral:rRNA from 1 species
UACGAAGGGGGCUAGCGUUGCUCGGAAUCACUGGGCGUAAAGCGCACGUAGGCGGAUUGUUAAGUCAGGGGUGAAAUCCUGGAGCUCAACUCCAGAACUGCCUUCGAUACUGGCAAUCUCGAGUCCGGGAGAGGUGAGUGGAACUGCGAGUGUAGAGGCGAAAUUCGUAGAUAUUCGCAAGAACACCAGUGGCGAAGGCGGCUCACUGGCCCGGUACUGACGCUGAGGUGCGAAAGCGUGGGGAGCAAACAGG